GAGAACAAAGUGGCCCUGCUGAGAGUGCCCCAUAGCUCUCCUCCACAUCCACCGUGAUCCACAACCACAGUGAUACCACCAUGUCUGACCUUGUUGUCUGGUCCCUGUUCAAUUCGCUCUUCGUUGAACUGAUGCUGCCUGAGCUUCAUAGCACUGGCCUACUCUGUGAAAUCUAGGGACAGGAAGAUGGUUGGCAACCUGACUGGGGCCCUACCAUGCUUCCACUGCAAAGUGCCUGAACAUCUAUGUCCUGAUCUUCGGCAUCCUUGUAGCCACUGCACUCAUCAUGAUUUUCACCACUAGCUCAGGGAUAAUCUCCCAAGCAAUUUCUCAGAUGAUAAAGGAUCUCCAAGGC
rnacentral:lncRNA from 1 species